rnacentral:rRNA from 1 species
CCUACGGGGGGCAGCAGUGGGGAAUAUUGCACAAUGGGGGAAACUCUGAUGCAGCGACGCCGCGUGCGUGAAGAAGUAAUUCGUUAUGUAAAGCUCUAUCAGCAGGGAAGAAAAUGACGGUGCCUGAGUAAGAAGCCCCGGCUAACUACGUGCCAGCAGCCGCGGUAAUACGUAGGGGGCAAGCGUGAUCCGGAUUUACUGGGUGUAAAGGGAGCGUAGACGGCAGUGCAAGUCUGGAGUGAAAGGCGGGGGCUCAACCCCCGGACUGCUCUUGAAACUGUACGGCUUGAGUGCAGGAGAGGUAAGUGGAAUUCCUAGUGUAGCGGUGAAAUGCGUAGAUAUUAGGAGGAACACCAGUGGCGAAGGCGGCUUACUGGACUGUAACUGACGUUGAGGCUCGAAAGCGUGGGGAGCAAACAGGAUUAGAUACCCGGGUAGUC